GGCAGCAGUGGGGAAUAUUGGACAAUGGGGGAAACCCUGAUUCAGCCAUGCCGCGUGAGUGAAGAAGGCCUUAGGGUUGUAAAGCUCUUUCACCAGGGAAGAUAAUGACGGUACCUGGAGAAGAAGCCCCGGCUAACUCCGCGCCAGCAGCCGCGGUAAGACGGAGGGGGCUAGCGUUGUUCGGAAUUACUGGGCGUAAAGCGUGCGUAGGCGGCGUGCCAAGUUGGAUGUGAAAGCCCAGGGCUCAACCUUGGAAUUGCAUUCAAAACUGGCAUGCUUGAGAGCGGAAGAGGUGAGUGGAACUCCCAGUGUAGAGGUGAAAUUCGUAGAUAUUGGGAAGAACACCGGUGGCGAAGGCGGCUCACUGGUCCGUUUCUGACGCUGAGGCACGAAAGCGUGGGGAGCAAACAGGAUUAGAUACCCUGGUAGUCCACGCCGUAAACGAUGAGUGCUAGAUGUUGGGGGGCAUGCCCUUCAGUGUCGCAGCUAACGCAUUAAGCACUCCGCCUGGGGAGUACGGCCGCAAGGUUAAAAC
rnacentral:rRNA from 1 species